AUUCACACCAGCUAGAAACAAAGAUAAGCCCAAGAUGGCACAGAAUUCAGGAGGAGCCGAAGGGUGAGCUGGAGGGGUGGAUUUUCUCCUCUGAUGCCGUCUGGCCCAGGAAGACAUCAUCCUCCGCCCUGGAGGGCCCAUGAGAUACUCAGGGCCACAUCAGUACAUUUCUAUGCAGCUCCAGAUAGGUACAACCCACAGAGUACAAUUACUGACCUGAAACAUUUCAUCUCUCAGGGAUGUGAUAUUUUCCCCUCCAGUAAUGAUCAACUUUUAAGAAAGACAUUUAUAUUUUAA